rnacentral:rRNA from 1 species
AUCUAUGGCCAUACCACCCUGAAUGUGCCCGAUCUCGUCUGAUCUCAGAAGCUAAGCACGGUUGGAAGCUAAGCAGGGUCGGGCCUAGUUAGUACUUAGAUGGGAGACCACCUAGGAAGACCAGAUGUGGUAGGCG